CUGACACAGGUGCUGCAUGGCUGUCGUCAGCUCGUGUCGUGAGAUGUUGGGUUAAGUCCCGUAACGAGCGCAACCCUUGUCCUUAGUUACCAGCACGUUAUGGUGGGCACUCUAAGGAGACUGCCGGUGACAAACCGGAGGAAGUGGGGAUGACGUCAAGUCAGUCAUGGCCCUUACGGCCUGGGCUACACACGUGCUACAAUGGUCGGUACAAAGGGUUGCCAAGCCGCGAGGUGGAGCUAAUCCCAUAAAACCGAUCGUAGUCCGGAUCGCAGUCUGCAACUCGACUGCGUGAAGUCGGAAUCGCUAGUAAUCGUGAAUCAGAAUGUCACGGUGAAUACGUUCCCGGGCCUU
rnacentral:rRNA from 1 species